ensembl:lncRNA
UAGGUGACAGGUCAAGAACAACAACGGAAACAACUGAAACAACCAAAACAACCGAAACAACCUCCACAGAGACAGAAACAUAAGGCAGAAAAUUAGGUGACAGGUCAAGCACAACAACGGAAACAACCGAAACAACCUCCACAGAGACAGAAACAUAAGGCAGAAAAUUAGGUGACAGGUCAAGAACAACAACGGAAAGAAGAGAAAGAACGAAAACAACGAAAACAACGGACACAACGGAAAAUUAAUAACAACGUCAAUAACGGAAAUAAUAACAGAAAUAACGGAAAUAAUAACAGAAAUAACGGAAAUAAUAACGGAAGCAACCUCCACAGAGACAGAAACAUACGGCAGAAAAUUAGGUGACUGGUGAAGAACAACAACGGAAACAACGGAAACAACGGAAACAACGGAAACAACGGAAACAACGGAAACAACGGAAACAACCUCCACAGAGACAGAAACAUAAGACAGAAAAUUAGAUGACUGGUCAAGAACAACAACGGACACAACGGAAACAACGGAAACAACCUCCACAGAGACAGAAACAUAAGGCAGAAAAUUAGGUGACAGGUCAAGAACAACAACGGAAACAACGGAAACAGCGGAAACAACCUCCACAGAGACAGAAAC